rnacentral:tRNA from 1 species
GGCCUGCUGGCGGCCGGAGGGCAUCGCGUCGCGCUGCUGGUGCGGCCGCGGGUCAAAACCGAGAUCGAGCGGUUCGGCCUGCGGCUGACCG